GUCCUAACCCCAACAAACUUAUCCGCCAGAGAACUACAAGCGAAAAACUUAAAACUCAAAGGAUUUGGCGGUGCUCCACCCAACCUAGAGGAGCCUGUCCUAUAAUCGAUAAUACCCGAUCAACCCAACCGCCUCUUGCCCCCCAGCCUAUAUACCGCCGUCGCCAGCUUAUCCCAUGAGAGCCCAAAAAUAAGCACAAUAGUCAAACCACUAAAACGUCAGGCCAAGGUGUAGCUAAUGAGACGGCAGCGAUGGGCUACACUAUCUACAAAAGAUAAAACGAAUGGUACCAUGAAGCAACUGCCGGAAGGCGGAUUUAGCAGUAAACUAAGCAAGAACACUUAUUU
rnacentral:rRNA from 1 species